rnacentral:tRNA from 1 species
AAGGGUCUAGCUCAGUGGUAGAGCACAUGCCUAGCAUGCACGAGGUCCUGGGAUCGAUCCCCAGUGCCUCCA